GUCCAUGUCUCCCAUAUGUUGGUUAUAAUUGAACCAAAAAUGGAUAAGGCAAUAGAGGGUGUGGGUGGAAGACAGAACUUAGUUUAAUGUAUUUGUUUUUAUUCCAAACACUGCAGCUGUGCACUUUUUAAGCAAUGAGAGACAGAUAGAUAAGGAGGGAAGGAGAAAGGGGAAAAGAGAAAGAAAGAAAGAAAGAAAGAAAGAAAGAAAGAAAGAAAGAAAGACCGAAAGUCCAUGAGAACUUCUGAAAUCUAACCCUUCUCAACACAGUAUAAAUACCUAGUGCUUCUUUGUUGCCUGGUACUUCCUAUGCCUGAGUAUCAAGACUGUGUUGAUGAGUAACUUGCAUGAAUAAGAAGACUGAGGUUAAGAAAAAUGGACUCUGCCACUCAAAGCCAUGUGACCUUCAACAGCUGUUCUCCAGUGAGCUGGGCUCACCAAAGUCACCCUGGAGCCUGCAUUUGCUGAAGAGACCCAACUUGCCCCACAUCAAAGGCACUAUCUUCUCCCCAGAAACCAUCUCUCUUUCCCAGCAUCUUUGCCUACGAAUGGCUCACUCACUACAUUUCCUUUGAAUCCAGACCUGGACCCAGACCCUUGCCGGCCAUUGAUCUCAGAGCCAAGUUCUGGUGGAGAAGGCAACGAGGAGGACAGAAAUGUUGCCUCUCCUGGAUGAUGUAUGCAUGCAUGUGAAGCCUGGAACUAAAGAAGACACUAGAUCUUUCCUUGAUGACACGGGACACUGGACUUUACAGCCUCCUCUGCCUCCACAUCCCUGCACCUGUCUUCCAACAUCUGAGGAUUCUACAAAUAUCUGGAGACGCCAACAGGCCUGCCACCCGGCCCACAGACUCUGGAGCAAUGAACACCCCCGGGGAAGUGGAGAUCUGAACUCUGCCUCCAACUGUGAACGGGGGUUUAGUUGGGGGUAGUUCAAGUCAGAGGAGACGAGAGUGCCUGGCAAGAAAAGACACAAUGAAAAGAGAAGAUGAUGGCAGGGACAUAGGGUAUGGGGGCAAAGAAGUCUGGAGAGGCGGCAGU